AGGCAAAACUCACAGAUUCUUCCCAAGAGAACACUAAAUGAUAUACCUCAGUCACAAGAAAACAAUGGAGAAGAGUGGGAGCUUACAAGCUACAAUAUAAUCUUUUAAAAUUAUAGGUAAUUACAAAAAGGCACAUUAAACUUCAGUUAAUCACAGUUGUUUCAAAAAUAUGUCCCUUCUCUUGACAAAGCAGUAACUCAGCCAAAACUUGGAUAAACUGGCAUUUCCUUAGAUCACAUGUUUCAUUCCUAAACACAAUGCCCCUUGUGUUUCUUUCAGGUGUCCAUACUUUCUCUGAAAAAUAGAUCUCCCCUUCCAAAGCUUGAGCAUUAUCUACUCUUUGUUUGAAAAUAAAUGCAUUGUUCAUGUGGGGACUAGUAACGCAGGUGUUUUACCUCUCUUUUCCCAGUCAGGCUGAUUCUUAAGCCUUUUAUGAAAUCAGUUCAGUUUAGUCAAAUCUCUGACAUCCACUUUUUAUUGCCAUUUCCCUUUAUGGCUAUAAUAUCAGCCCUAAAUACAACAAGAUCAUCUUUUAUUCCAUUAUGUUUACCUCUUUCUUCUACAACAGUUAUCUUAGAAGAUGUUUACAUUUUUAGUUAAUAUCUCAAGUCUUGCCAACAUUCUGCUUUCUUCUCACUUCUUGAAGACUAACUCUGGGGCAAGGCCAAAGUUCAGAUCAAGCAUUAAUAGUUCAAGUUGUUUUCAUUUUUCCUAAACUCCUUAAGGUACCCAGAUUUGCUCCUGUCACUGGAAAGCACUGUCUAAAAGCUUUGCAUGAAAUUAAACUCCCUGAGGUGUGACCAAACUGAAUAAAGCUGUGGAGGGAUGUAUUGAAGCAACUCUUCCUGAGUGAGGCAUGAGAAACACUGACAUUCUUAACACAGCAAGGAUUGGUGUUGGGUGUCAUAGAGAAUGAGGAGGGUCGGAUCUUAGAUCAUGGGGCAUGCUAUAGCUGAGAACGGAAAAAGGGGAGCAGAAUUACUUAAAGACUUCAUCUCUUCAAUGCAGAGGAUAGUAAUUGAUAUUACUUAUCAAAGUAUCUCUUUUCUAGCUAUGCAACAUGAAGUUUCAAGCAAUUUAUUAUUGUCAUUGAUGUCUC
rnacentral:lncRNA from 1 species